rnacentral:tRNA from 1 species
UCUAAUGUGGCAGAAUAAUGUAAUGAGCUUAAAAUUCAUUUAUAAAUAAGUAUAUUUCUUUAGAA